rnacentral:tRNA from 1 species
GUCUUGGUGGCUCAGUUGGCAGAGCGCUGGCAAAUCCAGAGGCCGUGAGUUCAAGUCUCACCCAAGGCA